AUAUCAAUAAGCGGAGGAAAAGAAACCAACAGGGAUUGCCUCAGUAACGGCGAGUGAAGCGGCAACAGCUCAAAUUUGAAAUCUGGGUCUUUCAGGCUCCGAGUUGUAAUUUGUAGAAGAUGCUUCGGGUGUGGCUCCGGUCUAAGUUCCUUGGAACAGGACGUCAUAGAGGGUGAGAAUCCCGUACGUGACUGGUUGCCUUCGCUCAUGUGAAGCUCUUUCGACGAGUCGAGUUGUUUGGGAAUGCAGCUCAAAAUGGGUGGUAAAUUUCAUCUAAAGCUAAAUAUUGGCCAGAGACCGAUAGCGCACAAGUAGAGUGAUCGAAAGAUGAAAAGCACUUUGGAAAGAGAGUUAAACAGUACGUGAAAUUGUUGAAAGGGAAGCGCUUGCAACCAGACUUGCACGCUGCUGAUCAUCCGGGGUUCUCCCCGGUGCACUCGGUUGCGUUCAGGCCAGCAUCGGUUUGGGUGGUUGGAUAAAGGCCUUGGGAAUGUAGCUUCUUUCGGGGAGUGUUAUAGCCCUCGGUGCAAUGCAGCCUACCUGGACCGAGGACCGCGCUUCGGCUAGGAUGCUGGCGUAAUGGUUGUAAGCGA
rnacentral:rRNA from 1 species